rnacentral:tRNA from 1 species
GUGGAUGUAACUCAAUGGUAGAGCACAUGCUUAGCAUGCAUGAGGUCCUCGGUUCUAUCCCCAGUACCCCCA